ensembl:lncRNA
CCUGAAAGACCAAAAUAUUUGUGAUUGCACCCUUCAACAUAGCCGUAGUUCAACCUGAAAUGCAACUAGAAACUGAAACAUACCGUAGAUGAAGAAAAGGACUAUAGUCUUCAUCAGAGCUGUCCCGAUCUUCUUCCAAGCCCUUCUGAUUAGGAUCCUCCCAGCAAUCAUCCAUGUCAAUACUGUAAAUAAAAAUGAUUUACAAAACACACACACCCACAACACCAUAAACUUGAAGCACGAAAGAACACGAACUAAGAUGGUUUCAUGUGCAAGACUUACAUGCUAUUCCUCAUAUAAUUCGCCUCCUCCUCAUCCAGAGAGUCAUGCUGCUCCUCUUCAGCAAUGCUCAAGGAGUGCAUGCUGUGAAUAUAAAACGAAUCUAAAUAAAUAUAUUCAUCAACAAAACAAUGCAUUACGGUCGCAGUUGUAAGACGAACUCACCUAGUUUCUAGCACUCUGACCGCUUCGGUUUCUUUGCCCAACGGUUGAACACCUUGCAUAGCGAAUUCUUUGUCCCUGAUUCAAAAGAUAAAUAAGUCAGUCACAACUUACAAUGUCCUGCAUGGCUGGUUUAGAAACGCAGUUCUAAGAUACAUACCCAUCUCGGUCGGACUCUUCUGAAAAACUAGGUACAGGCCGCGGUGGUGGCUGUGCAUGUCCCUGGCUGAGAGUAGACAUUCCCUACCGCUUUUGAUAGAAAGAACCAAUUCAGUAUGUUUGCCGCUACAUCUUUAUAUAUGUUUUCACAAAUCACGGCAUUCAAGUCAGGUAACACACAAGUAGCAUACUAAGCUAACAAAACAUGAACCACAGACCAACUGGCUGUAAGGGAAUGCUAACAGACAGAGUCAACUAUCGCUAAAUUCCUUGGAAAUAUCUGGAAUAUCCUGAUACUAGUGGAGCUUGGGUGGCAAGUUAGCCAGAUAGCGAUCACAAUAACAUUACAAAGAAGUGUAUACGACGUUAUUACUAGCUACUCGACUAUUACUAGCAUCAUUGUCCAAGCGUGUUAUAACAAGAUGUCUGAUAUCGCUAACGAGAUGUCUUGAUAGCGGCUAAGCUAGGGUGACCAGACGUCCUAUUUUACCCAGGCGGACAAGUCCUCUUUUACCCGGACAAAAAAGAGGACGUAAACCUAGCAUCAAUGUCCUAUAAUAGGGUGACCAGAUUUCAGUUUGUGAAAAAGAAGACACUAUAUGCAUGCUGGACCCCGCACCCUCCCCCAGCGACGAAGUCCUCUUUUUUACAAACUCAAAUCUGGUCACCCUAAAGCCUAGCAAAACCUAUUGAAAUGUGCUUUCCUCGAGUAUGACAAACUAGCGAGUCAACAACUUUCAUAACACAGUCAAACAUCAAGCAAGAGACAGUACAAACUACUUACUAAUCCAGCAGAAAGAUGGCUAGCUGUGAAUCGAACUUGUAUCCAAAUGUGUCUUUCAGCUCUCUCCAACGAGUAAAAGCUGUUCCGAUUGUGACCCUAGUCCGAUCUCUUGCUCUGUCGGCCUCUCUUUUUCUCUUCUUUGCUUCAUCUGACAUAGUCUUCUUCCGUUUCUUUGGUGCGUUCUCCAUGAUGAAUACUGAUGAGACUUCGCUUGCUUCUCCCUUAUACUGUAGCUGCGAGCGUGGACUGGCACUAUAUGACAUUGCGUAAUCACUGCCAGAAAGCAGGUCGAAGUACAUCCGCCCCAGAUCGGGCGGCCCCAGAAUCCUACAUAGCGGAGUUAUUUCCCCACAGACCCCCGAUGGCAAUGGCGGAGGCGCAAAUCGCCAUAUUAAAAGUCAUUGUAGCGGCACAAUUUUUUUCAAGCUGUUAUUUUAAGGUACAAUUGUUGCAUACUGUUACUUUAAAUCAACUUAUAUCAAUUCCCUUUCCUAGAUAAACUGUGAUGUGACCGUGUCUCUCAUCCUUAUGUGCAGAGGAAUGUGUCAUUUUGUUUUCACGUGAUGAGCACUCAUACUGAUCCUGCUGCAAAUCUGUCGCUUAAGAUGCCAAUGAUGUGCUCAAUACAGUGAAGGCAUUCUCCAGUAGACAUUGAUUUAAUACAAUUUUAUUUGACCUUUAUGAAUGGGUCGCCCAUUGCUUGCUGGACUGGUGCUGACAGCUUUUACCCCUGAUGAUGAUGGGGGAGGGCAGAAGGCAGACGGGGUGGGGAGGGGGGUAAUCCGUAUCACUAACAUGACAUGAAAAUCACAGUGAAAAGAGUGUGAAGAAAACUGUUUCCAAGUUACCUUGUGUCUCUUCUGUAGGAACCAUUAUGCAAAAAGACAGGUGUUAGGUAUAGGCUUCUAACAGUGUGUGAGGCACUAUACUAUACACCUUCAUGGGAGGGGAAUGUUUGAAAUAUUAUUCAUUAUUAAGAUACCUGUGAGGUUAUGUAUACAGAUGUAAUCGUAAGAUGUGGCUGAUGGUGUAAAUUACCUUUUUGAUAUAAAGAAGAAUGUAGGCUAUCCUCUCCCUGUUAUUGAGGACGGCCUCCUCAGAUCUCACUGUGACAGAGUGGUCACUGUAUGUGACCCACUGGUCUGGCUGUUCCCCACAGUCGGCUAUAUAGUGGCCUGCCAUCGUCCAAUCACAAGGAACAGGGAGGUCAGACAUGCCUGCCUUUCUUAACAUUUACAUACUCAAUAUUCUCUCUCUGCGUGUGUGUGUGUGUCUCUUACCGCUGGUGGUAUCUGAGCCAAUGUGGCUAAAGACAUUAAUUAAGGAAUAAUGUCCCUCUCCUUCCAGAAAGGACAAUUUGAAAUUUCUUCAAAUACAUGAUGCAAACACACACACUAUUACACCUAAGUUACUUGUACAUUUAGAACUGUCUGUCUGUCUGUCUGUCUACAUUAUAUGCAUUUUCACCUUUCCCCUAGUGUCCUCAGGUCCAGAAUGGAGUCCAGUGUAAGCGCCUGGUGUUGUUUGGCGAGGGUCAGGGGACAGAACCUCUUGAGGUGGAGGAUCAACACCCUACAGAAAGACACGUAGGAAAGGGAGAAGAGAAACAAGAGAAAGAGGAGAGGAGAAAGGGAACAGAAAAACAGGGGAGAAAACAUGACAUGAAAAAAUGGAUAAAAUUGUGAUUAAAGUUGGUGUGAAAUCGUAUUGGUUAAUGAAUGUGGUAAACCGCCUAUAGACGGUCUGGGUUAACAAUGAAGGUUCUGAUGAAGACCUGAGAAGGUCGAAACUGUCCUGUAUCAAAAAAUAAACAUUCAUAAGGGAGUUACACAGUGAAGGUUUCAGACUCACUGAGGCAGAGUGUGGAAAUGACACCUCAAGGUUGACCCAUGACCCUCACAACACUCGGAACAGGGCCGGAUUAACAAUGUUCUGUGCCCUGGGCAACAAGGCUCAAGGCUACACUGUUGCAUGUAAUUUUAAAGUCAAGAUCAUGUUUAUUGUAUCACAAUUCAACAUUUAAUGUUGAUCACUUCACUACUAUAUAUCCUUAUUAUUUUACUUAAACAAAUGGACCUUACAACUGGCCUCCCUUAAAGACUGAACUCAUGACUACACAAACAAUUAUGAGGCCUAAUGACCUAUAUUUACUUUUAAAACUUCUCACAUUUGCACUCCCGCUUAACUGCUUCUCUAUCUUGCUGCACUGCUUCUCCCCAUAGGACGCUCUCCUCCAGCCGCAGCGCUUCAAGUCACGUGACUCUCGCUCGCAGUGUCCGCGGCGUAGAGCUGGCAAGCCCCAAGCGGCAUUUGUGCAGGCUAGACUACACAAACACUGUUUUUGACGUGAUUUAACAUAAUAUUUUGAUCGAACGAGUUGCAAUAAACUGCUCACAUUAAGGAAAGUAAGGACUGCGUUCAUAACGUGAUAUAACAUUUUAGUUGACGUUGUCCAGGGCCCCUUUGUUGUCAUGUGCCCCUGGGUUGUCCAGUUGUCCUAAUGGUUAAUCCGGCCUUGACUCGGAACUACACAUUUGAUUCCUGUGGAUAUUAAAAACAAGUGUGAAGUGUGUGUGUGUGUGUGUGUGUGUGUGUGUGUGAGUUUGUUUGUAAGACGUGUGUGGUA